UACAGGGGGUGCAAACGUUGCUCGGAAUCAUUGGGCGUAAAGCGCACGUAGGCGGUUUGUUAUGUCGGAUGUGAAAGCCCUUGGCUCAACUGAGGAAGUGCAUCCGAAACUGGCAAGCUAGAGUACUAAAGAGGGUCGCGGAAUUCCCGGUGUAGAGGUGAAAUUCGUAGAUAUCGGGAGGAACACCGGUGGCGCAGGCGGCGACCUGGGUAGAUACUGACGCUGAGGUGCGAAAGCGUGGGGAGCAAACAGG
rnacentral:rRNA from 1 species